AGUGAACGCUGGCGGUAGGCCUAACACAUGCAAGUCGAACGGCAGCACAGUAAGAGCUUGCUCUUACGGGUGGCGAGUGGCGGACGGGUGAGGAAUACAUCGGAAUCUACUUUUUCGUGGGGGAUAACGUAGGGAAACUUACGCUAAUACCGCAUACGACCUACGGGUGAAAGCAGGGGAUCUUCGGACCUUGCGCGAUUGAAUGAGCCGAUGUCGGAUUAGCUAGUUGGCGGGGUAAAGGCCCACCAAGGCGACGAUCCGCAGCUGGUCUGAGAGGAUGAUCAGCCACACUGGAACUGAGACACGGUCCAGACUCCUACGGGAGGCGGCAGUGGGGAAUAUUGGACAAUGGGCGCAAGCCUGAUCCAGCCAUACCGCGUGGGUGAAGAAGGCCUUCGGGUUGUAAAGCCCUUUUGUUGGGAAAGAAAAGCAGCAGGUUAAUACCCCGCUGUUCUGACGGUACCCAAAGAAUAAGCACCGGCUAACUUCGUG
rnacentral:rRNA from 1 species